UCUCCAGACCCUUCAGCAGCUUCACUGCCUGGACACCUUGCAGCCAGCAGAUGUUGUACAGGUUUGCUGAGACACAUACAAACCAGGACACAAACAGGAAAAAGACAAAAGACAGAGGGGACAGAAGAGGAAUGAAUGCCAGAAAGUCCUUUUUGAAGUAUUUGUGUCCUUGAUGAAGAGUUCUCAGUUUGGCAAGAGCUAAGUCGAGGCACAUCAAAGAGGCAUCCAAAUAAAGAGCAGCUGAAUGGAAACCUAUGAAGAGGCAGGAGGAACAAACAAUCAUAUCUGUGCAUGUGCUGAAGGCAUCUGAAAGUGUUUGCAGCAGUAAUGUGUGAGGCAGCAGGAAACAGACAUUAAAAUGGCUUCUUAAUUCCCUAAGAGGGGGAAGGAAACCUCCCCAGCAGCUGUUUAAAUCAUGAAUAAACCCUGCUUAAAGCAAGCUGCAUCCAUUGCCCCCUUGGCAUUAUGGAUUCAGGAGCUUUCCCAUCCUCUCUGUUUGGU